rnacentral:rRNA from 1 species
GUGUCAGCAGCCGCGGUAAGACGAACCGUGCGAACGUUGUUCGGAAUCACUGGGCUUAAAGGGCGCGUAGGCGGCUCAUCAAGUCGGGGGUGAAAUACUUCAGCUUAACUGGAGAAGUGCCUUCGAUACUGGUGGGCUUGAGGGAGGUAGGGGUCUUUGGAACUUCUGGUGGAGCGGUGAAAUGCGUUGAUAUCAGAAGGAACGCCGGUGGCGAAAGCGAAGGACUGGACCUCUUCUGACGCUGAGGCGCGAAAGCUAGGGGAGCAAACGGGAUUAGAUACCCUCGUAGUCC